rnacentral:lncRNA from 1 species
CUCUUUUGGAAAACCAAUAUCUUAUAAGUUAAAUCACAAAACAAAAAGAUAAUAUGUUUAUAAGCUCUUUUGAAAAACCAAUAUCUUAUAAGUUUUUUUUUUUGUCAACAUAUCUUAUAAGUUAGAUCACAACCGCUCAUAUACGAAGUAUAUAUUAAAAAAAAAUAUUACGAAGUCAAAAAGGACACAUGAAAAAUAACAGAAACAAAGCAAAGUUGUCAUACCAGAAAACAUACAACUACCCUUUUUGGCAAUCAUAAAACUAACUAAUAUAGCAACAAACAAAAUAUGAUUAAUAAUUAAAACCACAAUAUAUAUAAGGUUGUUACCCC